CCUACGGGAGGCAGCAGUGGGGAAUAUUGCGCAAUGGGGGAAACCCUGACCCAGCGACGCCGCGUGAAGGACGGAGGCCUUCGGGUUGUAAACUUCUUUGGGGAGGGACGAAAGUGACGGUACCUCCAGAACAAGCCACGGCUAACUACGUGCCAGCAGCCGCGGUAAU
rnacentral:rRNA from 1 species